UUCAGGCUGAAGGGCGAUCCAUUAAUGUACCCGGCGUUGUGAUUGAGCAUCCAAGAGCCAACCAAAGGAUUAAGUAGUUGACUGACAAAGUCGGUGGUACCACUUCAACUUUCUCAUCCUUGUUUAAGAAGAUCCUGCUGUUGUGAAGCCUAUCAUCCAUCCUUCAGCAAUUUCCCCGUGGUCUUGGAGACCAGGCAUGUUAACUCAUCGUUCAAAGUGUUCUUCUGAAGGUUUGGAACAAACUGAGAAGCAAGUGGAAUAAGUGUGACCCAGACAGGUUGCAGAUGCUGGAGUCUUACUCCUGAAGCUUCCUCUGCAAUGAGAAAAAGCCACCUAACUAGUUCCACCCAAGAAGAUGUUGAAGGGCCAUUUUCAAGAGUCU